AUUGAACGCUGGCGGCAGGCUUAACACAUGCAAGUCGAGCGGGGGAAGGUAGCUUGCUACCGGACCUAGCGGCGGACGGGUGAGUAAUGCUUAGGAAUCUGCCUAUUAGUGGGGGACAACAUCCCGAAAGGGAUGCUAAUACCGCAUACGUCCUACGGGAGAAAGCAGGGGAUCUUCGGACCUUGCGCUAAUAGAUGAGCCUAAGUCGGAUUAGCUAGUUGGUGGGGUAAAGGCCUACCAAUGCGACGAUCUGUAGCGGGUCUGAGAGGAUGAUCCGCCACACUGGGCCUGAGACACGGCCCAGACUCCUACGGGAGGCAGCAGUGGGGAAUAUUGGACAAUGGGGGGAACCCUGAUCCAGCCAUGCCGCGUGUGUGAAGAAGGCCUUAUGGUUAUAAAGCACUUUAAGCGAGGAGGAGGCUACUUUAGUUAAUACCUAGAGAUAGUGGACGUUACUCGCAGAAUAAGCACCGGCUAACUCUGUGCCAGCCGCCGCAGUAA
rnacentral:rRNA from 1 species